rnacentral:rRNA from 1 species
UACGGAGGGAGCUAGCGUUGUUCGGAAUUACUGGGCGUAAAGCGCGCGUAGGCGGCUUUGUAAGUUAGAGGUGAAAGCCCGGGGCUCAACCCCGGAAUAGCCUUUAAGACUGCAUCGCUAGAAUCCGGGAGAGGUGAGUGGAAUUCCGAGUGUAGAGGUGAAAUUCGUAGAUAUUCGGAAGAACACCAGUGGCGAAGGCGGCUCACUGGACCGGCAUUGACGCUGAGG